GCAUAGAAGCUCAGAGCUCUUCGCUUACGAUUUUCUCAUCUCCCUGGCUCAAGCCUAGUUGCUAGUGUGCAUUUCUGGUGCUCAAGAUGGCAAGAUUAGGCUUACACCGUGAGUGCACAGAAAGGUAACCUUGAGACUCUCCCAUGUGGAUUCACGUGUGUGAAGAAAGAGCUCUGCUGGAGUCUACAGAAGGCACACACAAUGGAGAGCUCUGGCUUUAAGGAUGCCACAGGCGGAAACUGACAAAGAGCAUGCUGCUUCCCUUCCUUGCGUGGAAAUACCAUGAUCAUUAAAAAUAUUGAAGACAUCAAACAAGUGGCUGAUGCUCCUGUCCCUCUUCUGGCCUGAUUGCUCCCUCUCCUGACCCCUAAGCAUGGUUACCUACUCAGGACUAAAACAAAACAAUCCAGAAAGAAUGCUUUCUAAGAAUAAAGAAAAACAAAACAAACGCCUCCCUUCCUUCACAUUCCUGCUACAUCAUUAUAUUUCAAAACUUAGCCAGAGUGCUUCAUUGCCUUAUUGGAAACAUGUUGAUGGUGGCCCAUUGCCAACAGGAUGAAGAUCAAAGUCUCUACAUGGCAUGGAAGGACCCUAACCACCUUGCAUGAACCUGCAAAGGAUCUGAUGCUAGUGACAUCUGAUGAGCUCUAGGGCCAUGGGUAAAUCCCUGAAUCACAGGGAGCAUCAUCUGUAAAGCAGUGAUAAUGAUACAUUUUUUCAUUUGUAAAGUGAUGAUUUAAAAAAAUAUCCUACCUCAUGGUAUCUUCAUGAAAAUGAAACAAGAUAAUGAAUGAAAAACACACUUGUCUGUCCAGUGCUUGGUAUAUAGUAGGCAUUUAAUUAUAUGUGCGUGAGUGUGCAUGUGUGUGUUUCAUGAAUUACCACUCCCCA